UACGUAGGGUGCGAGCGUUGUCCGGAAUUAUUGGGCGUAAAGAGCUUGUAGGCGGUUUGUCGCGUCUGCUGUGAAAUUCCAGGGCUUAACCCUGGGCUUGCAGUGGGUACGGGCAGACUAGAGUGUGGUAGGGGAGACUGGAAUUCCUGGUGUAGCGGUGAAAUGCGCAGAUAUCAGGAGGAACACCGAUGGCGAAGGCAGGUCUCUGGGCAUUAACUGACGCUGAGGAGCGAAAGCAUGGGGGAGCGAACAGG
rnacentral:rRNA from 1 species